rnacentral:misc_RNA from 1 species
AAUGAUAAUAAAAGAAUGCCAAUAGCUAUCAUGAUAGGGUGAUAGUGGCAGUGUUAAUAAUAAUUAUGGUUGUUAAAUGCAAUGAGACUAGUGAUAGUGGUGAUUAGUAAAUGACUGUAAUGAUAGUUAUUAGAUGAUAAUAGAGAUAUUCAAGAGAUAAAACAAUGAUAGAAAUGAUUAACGUAAACAAUAGAAUCAGAGUUCUCCCACUGCUAACAUCUUUAUUGGUGAAAGGAAUUAUGGAAACUUGUUACUAAACUAAUCCAUUAUUAAUUAUUUCCUAUUUUAAUUUAACUGUAUUCAUACUAGAAAUUAUGGGAACUUUCUAUUAAAAAUCUAACCUGUCAUUUUAAGAUUAUGUAUAGACAUGACCAGGACAUUAUCAAAGCUUCAAUGAUAUUUCUAUCUUCUAGUGAAAGACGACCAAUUUUGCCUGCAAAAUGCAGCCCCACCAAUCUUUGAAACCUGCCCUCCAGGCAAAAGUCUGCUACUCUCUAACCAACAAAACUACUUUGAAAACAAAUAAAAAUCAUUAAAGAAUUCAAUGGCUUUUAGGCUGCAGCAUGCACAAGAAAAUGCCACCUGCAAAAGCUACAUUGAGUGAUUCAUAGUUUCUUGCCUUGGGUAUGCUCACAAGUUCACAUUCUUGUAGAGAUUGCUCUGAAAGGCCAUGUCCUUCAUUGCCCAAGACCAAGCAUAAUGGAACAUCAGCUAAAGAAUCUGCAAGCGCUUGAGAUAAUGGCGACAACGGUUUCAAUUUGCCAUUGCUUGCUGGAUGGCCAGCAAACAAUUUCAUUUCGAAUUCAUCUUUGAGAGCUUCAAGAUGAUGCCAAUUGCCUGUAACUAUAGGGACCUGAAAAGAGGCUCAACGACUAGCUUUGAGCGCCUUGUCAUUGAAUGGAUCACAAAAGCCAGGAAGUAUGAAAAUACCACCCUGUUCCCACCAGCUACAGUCUCAAACCUUCUGUUUAAAGUUAAAUAUGGAUAAACCUGAGGAAUGCAUUUUAUGUAAUAAACAUCCAAAGGACAAUUUGAUGGAGAUAAUAAUUGAGCCUGCCACUCACUCAAUUGAAGGGUAAAUAUAGUUGGAAGAAAAAUUGCUGGUUGCAAUAACCAUAUCCAUUUUCUUGAUGUUGACAGGUAAAUAUGGCAACUAGAGUUCACUAAACAAAUUCAUGAUUAUAAUUUUCAAACAGUUCUCAAAUGUUAGGAUACAUCAUAAUGAAGUGGAACAAAAGGUUGAGCAUAUUGAAAUUGGAGAAAAGAAGAGGUGAACUUAUGAUAGUGGAGGUUUAAUUAAUGAAAAAGUAUAUCGCAGCCCUAAACUGUGCAGAAUGGAGGAAAAUAAUUCAUAAAGCCAACAACAACUUGAUUAAGAUUAAGUCUUACUUGAGUUGAAAACCGAAGUAUCAGGCCAACCAAGAGAACAGCAAGUUGUAAACUCACUUGGGAACAUUGAUCUAGAUGAAUCUUUAUUGGCACAAAGAGGACUUGUAAAUUUUGCAAAAGCUUAUUAAUAUAUAAACAAAAAGGUUAUAAAGUGGAUUAAAAAAAAGGAAUGUCAGGAUAGCAUGCAGCAAACAAUUAACAAAAAUGUAUAAAAAGUAGAGGAAAUAAAAUUGAUUUUGCAGGUUGUUCCUUACUGGCCAACCUGACUAAUGUUCCUAGGUUACCUGGAUCCUGCAGUGAAAAACACUCUAAUGUUCAGGUAAUUCCUUAAAUCACCUGCAGCUACAACGAAGUAGCUGGUAGGAAAUCUCAUAAGGGCAAUUGCUUCAAUGGAUUCAGUAGAUUGCAACUGCGAGAGUUCUUUCAUCACCAAAGCACUCACGCACAGUACAAGUAGAGGAAUUGUCAAGUCCUUUAGGGACCUUAGCUUUAUCGAGAAGAAUCAGACACUCCAUUUCGACAGUCCUUUCUUCAGAUGAUCUCAGAAAUUUAUACGUAUCCCUGAUAGGAGUAGUACCCACAACAAGAGCUGAACCAUGAAAAUGGCGACAAGAGGAACUGUGACGGAGCUUGACGCAAUGCUUCACAAACGGGGUUGAAGUACUUGUUGUGAAUUUUUCAUUGGCUGGUAAUGUAAACUUCACCUCUGCGGAAUUAUCGAUAUCCCCAUCACUAUUGUAAUAACGAUAUUGAGAGAUUUUUUGGGUUUGGGUUUGAGGUUGAUUUGGUGAAGCAGUGGAUAGCCUGGGCUUUGAAUUAGAGCGGUUCAGAUGUGGAGGAGAAACUGCAGGAGCCCUGUAUGCGUAUGUGCUCUGCAUUUCUUCUUCUUUUGUCCCACAAGUCUAUGAAUAAUCACAUCACAGGUAGAACUAGAUAGUUUUCGCCACUGGGGUUCCGUAAGGAUCUCUAGAAGGAUAUUUUUGCGUUGCUUCUG